rnacentral:rRNA from 1 species
AUUGAACGCUGGCGGCAUGCUUUACACAUGCAAGUCGAACGGUAACAGGCCGCAAGGUGCUGACGAGUGGCGAACGGGUGAGUAAUACAUCGGAACGUGCCCGAUCGUGGGGGAUAACGGAGCGAAAGCUUUGCUAAUACCGAAUACGAUCUACGGAUGAAAGCAGGGGACCGCAAGGCCUUGCGCGGACGGAGCGGCCGAUGGCAGAUUAGGUAGUUGGUGGGGUAAAGGCCUACCAAGCCUACGAUCUGUAGCUGGUUUGAGAGGACGACCAGCCACACUGGGACUGAGACACGGCCCAGACUCCUACGGGAGGCAGCAGUGGGGAAUUUUGGACAAUGGGCGCAAGCCUGAUCCAGCUAUGCCGCGUGCGGGAAGAAGGCCUUCGGGUUGUAAACCGCUUUUGUCAGGGAAGAAAUACUCUGGGCUAAUACCCUGGGGUGAUGACGGUACCUGAAGAGUAAGCACCGGCUAACUACGUGCCAGCCGCCGCAGUAAGAC